ACAUGCAGAGACUUUCCAGAGAUGGAUUGGUGCCUUCGGGAACUCUGACACAGGUGCUGCAUGGCUGUCGUCAGCUCGUGUCGUGAGAUGUUGGGUUAAGUCCCGUAACGAGCGCAACCCUGUCCUUAGUUACCAGCACGUUAUGGUGGGCACUCUAAGGAGACUGCCGGUGACAAACCGGAGGAAGGUGGAGAUGACGUCAAGUCAUCAUGGCCCUUACGGCCUGGGCUACACACGUGCUACAAUGGUCGGUACAAAGGGUUGCCAAGCCGCGAGGUGGAGCUAAUCCCAUAAAACCGAUCGUAGUCCGGAUCGCAGUCUGCAACUCGACUGCGUGAAGUCGGAAUCGCUAGUAAUCGUGAAUCAGAAUGUCACGGUGAAUACGUUCCCGGGCCUU
rnacentral:rRNA from 1 species